AGUUGACAGUGAACUUGUAGCUGAACCAAAA
rnacentral:sRNA from 1 species